UUCUCGGUACUAUAGUGGUUAGUAUCCACCGCCUGUCACGUGGGAGACUGGGGGGUUCGAUUCCCCGCCGGGGAG